rnacentral:misc_RNA from 1 species
GAAAAUGAAAAAGUAAAGGAAGAUGACAUCAUGCAUAACAUCAUGCAUGAUGCCAUAAAUACUAUAAUUAAAAAUUUAUUUAAUUUAAUUUGUGGUCUUCCUAAUACACAUAAAAGAAAAGAAAAAAAAAUCAUUCUUCUUCUUCAAAAACGUGCAUCUCUCCUCUCUCUCUUUUCUCCUUAGUUUCCUCCAUAGUCAUGAAAUUCAAGCUUUCAAAGCUUGAAUCAACCCCAUAAACUCCCCAAAAAUUCUACUAAAUUAUGAUUAAGCUUUGUUUGGGCUACUAGAAGAGGAGAUAGAAGAAACAAGAAAGAAGAAAAAAGAGAAGAAAAUUAGUGAUUGGAAAAUCAAACAAAGGUUAGUAUAUAAAUUUGAAUUCUUUUACUAAAUUUCUAUGUUCUUAGUUUAAUUAACUUAGAAAGUAACUUAAAAUGAAACAAAAAUAAUUGUGAGGGAUCAAAGCUUAAUUUAGGCUAGCUAGAGUUUGAUGUGUGUGCAUGAAUUUG